rnacentral:rRNA from 1 species
GAUGAACGCUAGCGGCAGGCCUAAUACAUGCAAGUCUAAAGGGCAGCAAUGUCCUUGGCGCACGGGUGCGUAACACGUAUGCAACCUGCCCACAACUGGGGGAUAACCUUCCGAAAGGGAGGAUAAUACCCCAUAAAACAGGGAUCCCGCAUGGGAAUAUUGUUAAAGCUUCGGCGGUUGUGGAUGGGCAUGCGGACGGU